AUUUAAAUGACUCUCGGCAACGGAUAUCUCGGCUCUUGCAUCGAUGAAGAACGUAGCGAAAUGCGAUACUUGGUGUGAAUUGCAGAAUCCCGUGAACCAUCGAGUCUUUGAACGCAAGUUGCGCCCGAAGCCAUUAGGCUAAGGGCACGCCUGCCUGGGUGUCACAC
rnacentral:rRNA from 1 species